AGUAGCGAGCAGGCGGGGGCGCUGCUGUGUCUGGCCCCGCCGCGAGGCGCCAUGGCUGCCCCCAGGAGGGGUGAGCUGAGCCCGGCGGAGAAGGAGCUGCUGGCGGUGAUCGCCCAAGGGUCACUCUCGCUGCUGGAGCCCAUCUGCUCGCGGGGGCGGAGGGAACCCCAUUGGCGUGGCGGCUCCCGC
rnacentral:lncRNA from 1 species